AUAGUUAAAGGGAAGCUGCCGUCUUGACAACACUCGAGGGACACUCACUUAUUAUAUUUGGUUUCAUUUUGUUCAGUGUUGAGUUGGCAAUCCAUCUUUUAUCCUGGAUAAAACUGAUAAGUGAUGCAGGUUGCAAGCAAGAGUGCACAGAAAGGCAGUAUAUGUUGAUAACAUCCUCAUUAUAAACAGACAGUGAUUGUGUGUAAGGUCUAUCACCUACCAUAACACUCACACUGACUUGAGUUGUGAGUCACCAAGCUGUCAAGAGAAACAGAAAGCUAUCCAAGAAAACAUCAGUGUUGCUCGUCACUGGAGUGUAGCCAUGUCAUACUACAUAGUGGUGAAGGGCACACCGGGCCAUGCUGGGGUGGACGUGGAGGGCCUGGACAAGAGAGAUGAGCACUACCUGUCACUAGUUGACACGCUGGGCUUCAUGAUGGGUGAGGGUGGCCUUGUCAUGAAGAAACCUGGCUCGCAUGGAAACUGUGAUGCUCUGAGCUGUGGCACACGUGUGUUGAUUCUGCAGCCGUACAUGUACCCGACUGAUGUACUGAAUGCACUGCGUGAAGUCGGCUUUAAGAUCCUCAGCUCUGCCGGCUUGCCAUCUGGUGCUGUUGUGUGGACCCUGGAGAAGCACUAGACCAACACCCUUCCAGGACUUGUGCUUAACCUUAAUGAAGACUUUUAGGGAUCAGUGUCCAGGGCCUCUUGAGUCUUCUGUUAGCCAUGUAUGGAAUCCUUCACAUUGCUGGGGACUUCAAAGAAAUUCGGGCAAAUGUACAGCUUCAGAAUAAGUCAUGGGAGACAGUAGGCAACCGGCCAACCUUCUACACAUUUGCUCACCGUGGGCGGGCGCUGAGUCCGAACUAUGUGAUGCCGCCAUCCAGUUCCCCCCAGGACAUGGUGGAGACCCUGCCCUCGUAGUGGCCCCGUGCCACUCUGCGGUGCCUUCAUUCUCACCUCUUUGUCUUUUUUUAAAGAUUUCAUAAAGGAAUCCUUCUUUUAUCUUUUAUAGGGAAGAUUUGGUAGAGAUGAGUCCUUUAUCUUUUUUAAGGCAGAAAGGUACAGCCAAAUCUUCCUUUUUAAGAAAGAUUUAGUGGAAGGAAAUCCAGUUUUUCAAGUUUCUGGAGUAACAGACAAAGUUAUUUUUAUCUUUCUUUUCAUACACAGAUGAAGAAUACAAUUUACAGGUAAUGUUCUAAAAGAUUAUAAGAAAAUAUUGAAAAAUAUUAAAUGGGGAAUUAUUCUACAUUUACAUUUGUUCCCAGUUCACAAAUAUUUAAUUUACUUACCAUAACUGAUCCAUAAAUCAUCAUUCACCUGUACCUGAAAUGCAUCACUGUAUCUCCAGGACAUUAAUCUGGAUCCAGCACUUCAGCUUUCCCUUCUGCCUUUGUUAUUUUAUUAUUCUGUAUCUUGUUUAAUGAAGACAUGGUAACAAAAAAUUGUGUCCCUAGAAUGUAAUGCGGAUCAAACACUAGCUUUUCUUUCUGCCCUAAUCAUUUUAUCUUUGUAUCGUUGUGUCCCCAGACUGUAUUGUGGAUCCUACAUUUAGGUGUCAGUGUUUGUGGUGGUUCAAGGCGUAAUAGCCUUUCUAAGUCUGAACAUGCUUCAUACAGAAUAAGUUUCAUUGAUGUUUGUCUUAUAAGAUAAUUCCAGAACCAUCAUAAGAUGUUUGAUAUUUAUAGUUCAAGUAUGUUAGCAGUUGAAGUAUUAUUUUAUCAUAUUUUCUACCAAAGAACUUGGAGAAAUAUUCACAACACCACAAGAGACGAACAUUUUCCAUGGAUUGUAAAUAUCAGUUGUUUGUUCAGUCAGGAAGUGGAGAAUUUGUAGGUGGCAAAUAGUAUUUAUAUUUCUUUCUUACCUUCUGAUGAGCAGACUUUGUCUCCCUGUGAGUCUUAUAUUUUCUUUAUGGUAGAAAGUGUAUAGGUAAUGUAUUGCACACACCUGUAAUUAGUAUGUCAUUAGCAUUUCUAUGAGUCAAUGAGGAUUAUUUCUCCAUAAAUUAAAAUCUGACCUUAAA